rnacentral:snRNA from 1 species
CUCUUUGAACAGUGGCAGUGUUGUAGCCAAUGAAGUUUAACGCAGGCACGAUUAUUGCUGCUUGCAAACUUUUCCCUAUAUCCCAACACAGUGACUUGAAAUAUAGUUGGCGUUGGCAAUUUUUGACAGUCUCUAUAGAGC